rnacentral:tRNA from 1 species
UGCAUCUGCCGAGAAUCGAACCCGGGCCGCCCGCGUGGCAGGCGAGCAUUCUACCAUUGAACCACC